rnacentral:rRNA from 1 species
GACGUAGGGCGCGAGCGUUGUCCGGAUUUAUUGGGCGUAAAGAGCUCGUAGGCGGCUUGUCGCGUCGACUGUGAAAACCCGCGGCUCAACUGCGGGCCUGCAGCCGAUACGGGCAGGCUAGAGUUCGGUAGGGGAGACUGGAAUUCCUGGUGUAGCGGUGAAAUGCGCAGAGUAUCAGGAGGAACACCGGUGGCGAAGGCGG